rnacentral:tRNA from 1 species
GCAUCCUUAGUUUAACGGAUAAAACUGCGGCCUUCGAAGCCGUUGAUGGGGGUUCGAUUCCCUCAGGAUGCACCA